rnacentral:rRNA from 1 species
GCCCGAGUUGUAAUUUGCAGAGGAUGCUUUUGGCGAGGUGCCUUCCGAGUUCCCUGGAACGGGACGCCACANAGGGUGAGAGCCCCGUCUGGUCGGACACCGAGCCUCUGUAAAGCUCCUUCGACGAGUCGAGUAGUUUGGGAAUGCUGCUCUAAAUGGAAGGUAUAUGUCUUCUAAAGCUAAAUACCGGCCAGAGACCGAUAGCGCACAAGUAGAGUGAUCGAAAGAUGAAAAGCACUUUGAAAAGAGGGUUAAACAGUACGUGAAAUUGUUGAAAGGGAAGCACUUGUGACCAGACUUGGGCCCGGUGAAUCAUCCAGCGUUCUCGCUGGUGCACUUCGCCGGGCCCAGGCCAGCAUCAGUUUGCCCCGGGGGACAAAGGCUGUGGGAAUGUGGCUCCCUCGGGAGUGUUAUAGCCCACUGCGCAAUACCCUGGGGCGGACUGAGGUUCGCGCAUCACGCAAGGAUGCUGGCGUAAUGGUCACCAGUGACCCGUCUUGAAACACGGACCAAGGAGUCGUCUUCGUAUGCGAGUGUUCGGGUGUAAAACCCCUACGCGUAAUGAAAGUGAACGCAGGUGAGAGCUUCGGCGCAUCAUCGACCGAUCCUGAUGUUCUCGGAUGGAUUUGAGUAAGAGCAUACGGGGCCGGNCCCGAAAGAAGGUGA